UCAGAUGUGGUGUAGGGUGCACAUCAGCUCCUUGUAGAUACUGUUUGUCAAUAAGUUUAGAGCCGGAAGCCGGGGUUCGACUCCCCGCAUCUGAA